rnacentral:rRNA from 1 species
AGUGAACGCUGGCGGUAGGCCUAACACAUGCAAGUCGAACGGCAGCACAGUAAGAGCUUGCUCUUACGGGUGGCGAGUGGCGGACGGGUGAGGAAUACAUCGGACUCUACUUUUUCGUGGGGGAUAACGUAGGGAAACUUACGCUAAUACCGCAUACGACCUACGGGUGAAAGCAGGGGAUCUUCGGACCUUGCGCGAUUGAAUGAGCCGAUGUGGGAUUAGCUAGUUGGCGGGGUAAAGACCCACCAAGGCGACGAUCCGUAGCUGGUCUGAGAGGAUGGUCAGCGACACUGGAACUGAGACGCGGACAAGACUACUACGGGAGGCAGCAGUGGGGAAUAUUGGACAAUGGGCGCGAGCCUGAUCCAGCCAUACCGCGUGGGUGAAGAAGGCCUUCGGGUUGUAAAGCCCUUUUGUUGGGAAAGAAAAGCAGCAGGUUAAUACCCCGCUGUUCUGACGGUACCCAAAGAAUAAGCACCGGCUAACUUCGUG